rnacentral:tRNA from 1 species
AAGAAAUUAGUUAAAUAUAUAACUUAAUCCUGUCACGAUUAAAUUACCUUUAUGUAAGGUAUUUCUUA